rnacentral:tRNA from 1 species
GCGGGUAUAGUAUAAUGGUAGUACGCGACCUUCCCAAGGUUGAGGCACGGGUCCGAUUCCCGUUACCCGCUCCC